rnacentral:tRNA from 1 species
CGGGAUGGAGCUCAGUGAUAAGAGUGUUUGCUUGGCAUGUGUAAGGUCCUGGGUUUGAUUCCCAGUCUCUCAA